CUAUGAUCUGCUGUUGUUGUUUUCUGUUUUUUCUUCUUACAAUCCCUUAACUAUAUACUUGGGACUCUUUCCCUUGUGCAUUUUUAGCAUGCUGCAUGCAUUUGACGUAGUCAAACUGAGUGCUUGAGAUAAGUAUUUAAAGUAACAAAAUGAAUUUCCUCUUUUAUCUUUCAGACUUUGUGUAAUGACUGGGGGGAAAAGAAAAAAACCACAAGGAAAAAAGGCGAGCAGGUGAAAUGUUUUAUAUGAAGCCUAGAACUGUAAGGAAAUAUACUCUUAUGUAUUAUUUUCCGAUCACCAUAAUGUCAGUGGGGUGAAAGGCUUCAGAGUGGUUUACUUCUGAAGAAUCACUUGCCUGGAUUUCAGCAGCUGCCUUUGGGAAGAGCCUGGAACAACACAUCUGCUGACACCCCUGUGGUAAACAAAGGGAGGCAUUUUUUUCAAGCAGAUUUUGGUUUGGUGCAGUGCUUGGAACAAAACAAGAGCAAACAAAACCCAACAGCACUAAAUGCUGCACUCUUGCUGCAUGGUGGAAGUAACUUGAGGACUUUACUGAGAGUCUCAGCCUUCAGCCUCGCAAUACACCUUCUCUAACAUGAGGAUCGAUCAGCUUGCUUUCAUAGCCACAUAGAGGCAAACCAGACUCACCAGGAUCUGAUGUUGAAAAGGAAGAAGUUUCUCAGGUAUAAUUAACCUGUGGAAUGCACUACUGUGAGAUGCUCUUGAAAUGCUGUCAUUAAUAGCAUCUGUCUUCAUAAGUUAGGGCAUCAGUGACUUCAUAGCUGAAAGCGAGAAGCAAU
rnacentral:lncRNA from 1 species